AGGGGUAUAGCUUGGUGGUAGAGCACUUGCCUAGCAGGCAUGAGGCCCUGGGUUCAAUCCCUAGCACCACAA
rnacentral:tRNA from 1 species